rnacentral:rRNA from 1 species
AUGGGGUGCAGCAGGCGCGAAACCUUUGCAAUAGGCGAAAGCCUGACAAGGUUACUCUGAGUGAUCUCCGCUAAGGAAAUCUUUUGACACCUCUAAAAAUGGUGUAGAAUAAGGGGUGGGCAAGCCUGGUGUCAGCCGCCGCGGUAAUACCAGCACCCCGAGUGGUCGGGACGAUUAUUGGGCCUAAAGCAUCCGUAGCCGGUUCUUUAGGUCCUCCGUUAAAUCCACCUGCUUAACAGAUGGGCUGCGGAGGAUACUAUAGAGCUAGGAGGCGGGAGAGGCAAGCGGUACUCAGUGGGUAGGGGUAAAAUCCGUUGAUCCAUUGAAGACCACCAGUGGCGAAGGCGGCUUGCCAGAACGCGCUCGACGGUGAGGGAUGAAAGCUGGGGGAGCAAACCGGAUUAGAUACCCGGGUAGUCCCAGCUGUAAACGAUGCAGACUCGGUGAUGAACAGGCUUCGUGCCUGUUCAGUGCCGCAGGGAAGCCGUUAAGUCUGCCGCCUGGGGAGUACGGUCGCAAGACUGAAACUUAAAGGAAUUGGCGGGGGAGCA